rnacentral:rRNA from 1 species
CCUACGGGCGGCUGCAGUGGGGAAUAUUGCACAAUGGAGGAAACUCUGAUGCAGCGACGUCGCGUGAGUGAUGAAGGUCUUCGGAUCGUAAAACUCUGUCCUAAGGGACGAUAAUGACGGUACCUUAGGAGGAAGCCCCGGCUAACUACGUGCCAGCAGCCGCGGUAAUACGUAGGGGGCGAGCGUUGUCCGGAUUUAUUGGGCGUAAAGGGUGCGUAGGCGGCCUUGUAAGUCAGAUGUGAAAGAUCAUGGCUUAACUGUGGUAAGCAUUUGAAACUGCAGGGCUUGAGUACAGGAGAGGAGAGUGGAAUUCCUAGUGUAGCGGUGAAAUGCGUAGAUAUUAGGAGGAAUACCAGUGGCGAAGGCGACUCUCUGGACUGAUACUGACGCUGAGGCACGAAAGCGUGGGGAGCAAACAGGAUUAGAUACCCCUGUAGUC